rnacentral:lncRNA from 1 species
GAACACAUCCCUCGAUCCUCGAACUCGACUCCAACUUUACGACUCGUGCUCGGGAUUGAAAGUACCUACAAGCAUUUCAACACCUAUAUGAGUCUUUUGGACUCAAUGAGAAUUCCGAAAAAUAUCGAAUACACAUAGGCAAGAAGCAUAUAUUUAUGAUAUGUAUAUAUGUAUAUAUCCCAUCUCGAAUCACACAUAUACACAAUAAAAACUUUUCGAUUUUACCUCAAUCGUCAUUUCAUUGAGGGACUUUACCAAUUUACCUUUACCUUCUCGGAUAACCUCUUAGACCUUCCUUUCAUCAUUUCAUAAGGAAUAAGAGUAAAUCCCUUACACGGGAGUCGUCAUUAUUUUACACACACAUUCAUUCAAGUGCUCAUACAAUGUGAGAGAAAAACAUUUUAGUUCGGAUAUCCUUUGGAAAAUCAAGUAAAACCAUAGACAAUAAGCCUUCAUUUAUUUGGAACCCGUUUCAUAAGUGGAAUCAAACCACACACUCUUCAUCUCAUUUUGGGGUACCGGUCCCUCAUACCCCGUGCUUAUUCGAUCUAUGUUACAAGAUUUCCCAACUUUAAAAACGUGCAAGUGAUGUUAGAACAUACUUUCAUUCAUUUCAAGCAACUUGAUUAGGCGUGUGAGAAAAACAUUUUUAUUCGGAUAUCCUUUGGAAAAUCAAGUAAAACCAUAGACAAUAAGCCUUCAUUUAUUUGGAACCCGUUUCAUAAGUGGAAUCAAACCACACACUCUUCAUUUCAUUUUUUGGGGUACCGGUCCCUCAUACCCCGUGCUUAUUCGAUCUAUGUUUUACAAGAUUUUCCAACUUUAAAAACGUGCAAUGUGAAGUUAGUAUAUAUAUUCUUCAUUUCACAUAUUCAAAGUUAGCUUUCACAUAAGCACACAUAUUUCCACAUAUUUCACAAAGGCACAUAGUUUAAUCACAAAAUCACAAAAGCAAGUAAGACACAUAACAACUCAAGCAAAGAACAUAGAUCACAUAUUUACACAUAUAGCUAAACAAUUCAAAGCAUUCGGUUAUUUAUAAUUACUAUCUCCAAGUUUCAUUAAUUAAAGAUCAAGCCCUCUUUCUCAAGAGACUUGAAGUUUUCUCUCAAUUAGCACCAAAUUUCAUUUAUUACAUUUUCUUUCCAAAAUAUUCAAACCAUCAUCAACAAUUCAAUCGCAUUCAAUUCCAUUUUUAUUAAUCUUGUUCUCGGUUUUUAUCUUCGUAUAUUAUCUUAUUACUCAUAGAUCAUAAACCAUGGAUCGUAAGCUUCCUCGACCCGAAGGGAGUACACGUACAACCACGCAGGUCGAUAUAUAUACACAUAGUAACAUAUACUUAUAUAUAGCACAUAUAGAUUAUAAAUAAACCAUGGAUCAAGUACUUUCUUCGACCACGCAGGUUUACGAAAACCAUGGAUCGAAGUUUCCUUAAGAUCACGCAGGUCUAGUAUAUAUACAUAAAUAAAAUUACAAUAUUAUUCUUAGUUCUUCAAGAUUAUAUGAUUUAAAGCUUAGAUUCUUACAUGCAUGGAUGAUCAAAGCAUAAAUUAAACACAAAGUUUUAUUUUCUUUUAGUUUUCGGUCACCACAAGAACAUUAACAAGGAAUUAAAGAAAUAAAAAUACUAUUGGUGUUGAAGCACUUGUAGCAAGAAUUCAAAAAUUCUCACCUUAAUCUUCUUAGAAAAUUGGGAGGGUGUUCUUUCCUUUUCCUUUGGCCAAGAAUUUUACACUUGAAAGAGAGAAUUUGGGGCUUUCCUAUACUAUAAUUCCGAAAAUUGGGAGAAGAGGAGAAAGAGAUUUUGAU